rnacentral:rRNA from 1 species
AGAGUUGAUCAUGGCUCAGGACGAACGCUGGCGGCGUGCCUAACACAUGCAAGUCGAGCGAGGAGAUUCCUUCGGGAUGAUCCUAGCGGCGGACGGGUGAGUAACACGUGGGCAACCUGCCUCAUAGAGAGGAAUAGCCUUCCGAAAGGGAGAUUAAUACCUCAUAACAUUGCAGUUUCGCAUGGAACAGCAAUUAAAGGAGUAAUCCGCUAUGAGAUGGGCCCGCGGCGCAUUAGCUAGUUGGUGAGGUAACGGCUCACCAAGGCGACGAUGCGUAGCCGACCUGAGAGGGUGAUCGGCCACAUUGGGACUGAGACACGGCCCAGACCCCUACGGGAGGCAGCAGUGGGGAAUAUUGCACAAUGGGGGAAACCCUGAUGCAGCAACGCCGCGUGAGUGAUGACGGCCUUCGGGUUGUAAAGCUCUGUCUUCAGGGACGAUAAUGACGGUACCUGAGGAGGAAGCCACGGCUAACUACGUGCCAGCCGCCGC